rnacentral:rRNA from 1 species
GAAGGGGGCGAGCGUUGUUCGGAAUUACUGGGCGUAAAGGGCGCGCAGGCGGCUCUGAAAGUCAGAUGUGAAAGCCCCGGGCUUAACCUGGGAAUUGCAUUUGAUACUCUGGAGCUUGAGUACGGGAGAGGAGAGUGGAAUUCCCAGUGUAGAGGUGAAAUUCGUAGAUAUUGGGAAGAACACCGGUGGCGAAGGCGGCUCUCUGGACCGUAACUGACGCUGAGGCGCGAAAGCGUGGGGAGCAAACAGGAUUAGAUACCCUGGUAGUCCACGCCGUAAACGAUGUGCGCUAGACGUUGGAAGGCUUAGCCUUUCGGUGUCGCAGCUAACGCGAUAAGCGCACCGCCUGGGGAGUACGGCCGCAAGGUUA